GCCGGAGUAGCUCAGUCGGUUAGAGCAGCGGAAUCAUAAUCCGCGUGUCGGGGGUUCGAGUCCCUCCUCCGGCA
rnacentral:tRNA from 17 species